rnacentral:lncRNA from 1 species
GAGAACACAGUUCAGGAGUUUUCAUUUAAUAGCUCAAUUUAUGGUAAUCAAAACAAAACAAACAGAACAUCUCACAAAUCUCCAAACAACCCAAACUCAAUUGUGCUAGGAUGAGUCCCCUGCCUCCUAAAAUCUCAGGUAUUCAAUCAGGUGAGUCAAAUAACAUGCAAAUUAUUUCUUGUUUUUCACGUUGACAAUCUCCACUUCAGCCUCAUGUCUACUUUUCUGUGUGUAAUCUUCAGUACGGGAAAAUUGCUUUGCUAACUGCCUCACCUGGGAAUUUAUUCCACCAGGAUCCGGGGGGAAGGUGACAGUGGAUUCCGUCUCCUGAUAUAUCCCGUGGUGACUGGUUUUGUUUCAUAGGAGACUUCAUUUUCAUUAAAAUGCACUUUCAUUCUUAAAGAAAAAAAUGAAUAAAAUACAGGUACAGAGAGUUUAACAUGUUGGUUUCUUGUUGAAAUAAAGUCUUCGAAAGUUUAAAUACAACCACUUUUUAUUGAUUGGCUUAAAAGUACACAUCAAGACCAUAAAUAAGUCAAAAGCAGACACACAUUUUUUUCCCUCAGAAUAAAAAUAUGCAUUUCCCAAACUAGACCACUUGGGGGCAGCAUAGCGCAGAGCUAGCUUUUCACUCAUCUCCCAGCGCAGUCUCCUUCAGUAAUGCAAGUCCCCACAAAGCAAGAACUUAGGUCUUGCUAUUCAUGUCAGCAGAGUCUUUGUCAAUUGUCAUCCUAUUUUUCUCUUUUUUUCGUGUUUCUUUAUCCUGAUCUUUUUUUUUUGGGGGGGGGGGAGGUUGGUUCUUCAUGAGUUAAGAGUUUUCAUACUUCUAGUAGGUUAAUUAACACAUUCAGAAAUUAAGUCAAAGCUGGCCCAGUGCCCUUUCUUGCUCAACCACAUGGGCAUGCUUGGGUAACUGUAGUUAUUUACAUUUGGCAUCCAACUGACUCCAUGAGCUGCAUUGCUUUCCCCCCUGUAUGAGUAUCCAGGCUAUUAAAUUAAACAGGUUAAUGUUAGCUACAGCGUCUCACCCCCCACCAUCCCCACAGCUAUAGUAAAUCUGCCACCUGUUUAUUUCCAUAAAAAUUCAAUUAUAGCACCGGCAGUUAUUCUUCUUAUGUGAGCAAUUAACUUCAAGCAGUUUCCAGCCAAAGAGAAAGGCCAGGCCAGCCGGCCCUUCCUUUCUUUGAUUCCUUCAGCCCUUGGUUGCUUCUUUUGUUAGGUGACUGCGCAACCAUCAAACCACUGAAAAAUGAAACAAGCAAACUGGACUACCAUGCACUCUUAUGCCAACGAAGAAACAAAAACUGAAAAAUCACUAACAGCUCUUUGCUUCCCCCUUGUCCUUUGAGUGCGGAAGCCGGGGAGGUGGAGGGCAGUGGGCAACUCGCUGGGGCACCAGGAGCACGGUUCUCCCUACCAUACACCACCAUGAAGAAGGGGUUGCUUUAAACACUGUUCUUCUUCCUUCUUUAUCUCUGUAGAAAAUGCAACCAUGCAGGGAAACCUUGGCCAAAUGCCACAGCGUCCUGGCUGAAGCAGCAACGCAAUUACGGAAAGAUAAAAAACCCACAACGGCCUGUGCAUCUGAGCAGCUGAGAGAAAGAAGGUGGUGAGAGGGCUGGUUUGGGUUCUUCUUUCCCUUCAUAUGCGGGGGAUAUUGACUUUCUUUUGAAGAAGCAAAAUUCUUAAAGAUCAUGCUUAACACAGAGACCUCACAGCUGGUCAACUUGCAGAGAACAGGAGAGAACUCAAAUCCAAGUGGGAUAUCUCUAUCACUCCUCUAUUACCUAUUCACGGCCCCCUUCUCCCACCCAAGGCUCAGAGAUCACCACCGACGAAGGGACAGAGAGACAACACGCUCCAGGGUAGUGGACAUCUACAGCCAACAGCAGGAUGUGACGUGGUCCUUGCACAAAGGGACUCAGAGUGGCCUGGUAGUGACUGCUUAAGACUGGCAUAAGAGCAAGUCAGCUAGAACCCCAGCAUGGACUGUGGAUAAUUCAUGAAGUCCACUCGUAGCUGAAGAGCUAUUGGCAAUUGCUGGUGUUUGGCAGAGCCAGAGUCAGUUAUCUUCAGGAAUAUGAUGCUAGAGAGGUUGUCCCGAUUCCAGCAGCACUUCCUCCACCCAUGCACACACAUACAGGCAGUACUAAGUGGACCCAGGGUGAUUUAAAACAAAGUGUGGCAAGUUAGGAGGAAAAACUGGUGGGUGGGUAAGGGGGGGGCCUGGAGGAGAGGGAUUAGGGAUAGAGUAGAUCAAAAUGUAUGGAAUUCUCAAUAAAAAUGUAAUUUAACCAAAGAGCCAAUUGGACUCAUAAGAUCAUUAAUUAAACCAUUCCCCAGUUUCAGAUUAAAAUAAAAUUUCCAUAUGCAAGCUAGUACUCAGUGCUCUCAAUUUAUUACUGACGAACUCAGAAAAUCAGAGGAAAACCCACUGCCCACUAAGCUUUAGAGAGUGCUCAAGGCAGCUCUAGGCCCUAAAGCAAGGGCAGGCGGGUGGGCUGGGUGCAGGGGUUCUGGUUUCACUUCCAAAUGGUCCCAAGCCUUGCUGGUCUCUGAGCAUGGCUGUAGUGCUGGUGGGUAUCCUGUCAUGUGCCGGC